UCCUAGCCCCGAUAGUAGUGAAAAUCCUUUUGUGGCGGGGUUCGCCAAAAAAGAUUGAAACGGAUAGCGGGAUUAAGC
rnacentral:sRNA from 1 species